rnacentral:rRNA from 1 species
UACAGAGGUCUCAAGUGUUGUUCGGAUUCAUUGGGCGUAAAGGGUGCGUAGGCGGCGCGGUAAGUCGGGUGUGAAAUUUCGGAGCUUAACUCCGAAACUGCAUUCGAUACUGCCGUGCUUGAGGACUGGAGAGGAGACUGGAAUUUACGGUGUAGCGGUGAAAUGCGUAGAUAUCGUAAGGAAGACCAGUGGCGAAGGCGGGUCUCUGGACAGUUCCUGACGCUGAGGCACGAAGGCCAGGGGAGCAAACGGG